GCCGACGUAGCCCAAUUGGCAGAGGCACGAGGUUUAGGUCCUCGGCAGUGAGAGUUCGAGUCUCUCCGUCGGCA
rnacentral:tRNA from 2 species